rnacentral:rRNA from 1 species
AUUGAACGCUGGCGGCAUGCUUUACACAUGCAAGUCGAACGGUAACAGGCCUUCGGGUGCUGACGAGUGGCGAACGGGUGAGUAAUGCAUCGGAACGUACCCAGAGGUGGGGGAUAACGCAGCGAAAGCUGUGCUAAUACCGCAUGUGAUCUGAGGAUGAAAGCGGGGGACCGAGCAGCAAUGUUUGGCCUCGCGCCUUUGGAGCUGCCGAUGUCGGAUUAGCUAGUUGGUGGGGUAAAGGCCUACCAAGGCGACGAUCCGUAGCUGGUCUGAGAGGACGACCAGCAACACUAGGACAGAGACACGGCCAAGACUCCUACGGGAGGCAGCAGUGGGGAAUUUUGGACAAUGGGCGCAAGCCUGAUCAAGCAAUGCCGCGUGCGGGAAGAAGGCCUUCGGGUUGUAAACCGCUUUUGGCAGGAACGAAACGGUGUCCGCUAAUACCGGGCGCUAAUGACGGUACCUGCAGAAUAAGCACCGGCUAACUACGUG